rnacentral:rRNA from 1 species
UACCCUGGUAUAAGAUAAGAAGGAAAUUAGUAAGGCUGAAAUUUAAAAUUUUUGGCGGUUAAUUUUUAUUUAGAGGAGCUUGUUAUUAGAAUUUACUCUUUAAAUUUUAUUUAUGAAGGUUUAUUUAUCUCCGUUAUAAGAUGAAAGAUUGAGAAAUUUAAAGAUUAUAUUUCAGGUCAAGAUGUAGCUAUUAUAAGAUAAAAUUAGCUACAUUUAUGAAAUAAUGGAGAGUAGUAUGAAAAGUAUAGGAAAUUGAAUUUAGUUGUAAUAAAUUUUAGAAUAAAUUUAUGAAAAUUAGGAAUUAAUGUACAUAUUGCCCGUCACUUC